rnacentral:rRNA from 1 species
AUUGAACGCCGGCGGUAUGCUUAACACAUGCAAGUCGAACGGUAGCAGUAUAUAAGCUUGCUUAUAUAGCUGACGAGUGGCGGACGGGUGAGUAAUGCGUAGGAAUCUGUCCUUGAGAGGGGGAUAACACUAGGAAACUGGUGCUAAGACCGCGUAAAACUAAGGUUGAAAGUCUAGGUUUUCGGAUCUGGAGCUCAAGGGGGAGCCUACGUUAGAUUAGCUAGUUGGUGGGGUAAUAGCCUACCAAGGCGACGAUCUAUAGCUGUUCUGAGGGGAAGAUCAGCCACACUGGGACUGAGACACGGCCCAGACUCCUACGGGAGGCAGCAGUGGGGAAUAUUGGACAAUGGGCGAAAGCCUGAUCCAGCAAUACCGCGUGUGUGAAGAAGGCCUUAGGGUUGUAAAGCACUAGCAACGAGGAAGAAGUUGUUAUAGUUAAUAGCUAUAGCAAUUGACGUUACUCGAAUAAGAAGCACCGGCUAACUCUGUGCCAGCCGCCGCGGUAA